UUACUGGGCAGGGUGCAGAUGGUAUUACACAGACAGUUGGUAUUGGGUGAAAGGAUGCAGUGUAACCCCUUGGGAGCCCUGUUGCCUCGCUUGGACUUGUGGUGCUUUCACUAGACAGAUUAAUACAGUUCUGCCUUGUAAGAUGUGUAGAUGAAACCUGCUGGAGUCCAAAGUCAGAGGUGCUCGGAAAAUGACCUGAACAUAGUCACUGACUACACUAGGGCCUGUGAGGGCCAUAGAAGUGAAUGCAGCCGUACCCAGAUAGGUUUGCAGACGGUUGGAGCUUUAGAAAUUGUAUCCGUGCCAUGGAGUUAUCGUGAUGUGAACGUGGCCUAAGAUUCGCCAAAUUUCUUUGAUCUUAAAAACGGAUCGGAAUCUCAGCACUUGGAAGUUUAACAUGGCGAUAGGCGUGGACUCCAGCAGGUGUAGGAUUACUAAGCAGCACCUCCCUGAACCAGGUAAAAGCUCCAAGCCGGAGGAAGAGGGGGGAGGACAAACGAAAACCAUUAGAUCGAGACAAAGAUUUGCACUGACUUCAAAGGCGUAGAUAAUCUUCCAUCCGGCCACACAAACACAAAUAAAUGAUGGCUUCUUCCCCAGGUGUUGCGUAUCGUGUCAUGUGACCUGCUAGAAGGCGUUUCAGGUAAUCACUGCUGUCAUUCAGGAUGAUGGAAAAGACACCAGAAACCAUAAAAAUGAGCACCAGAAAAGAAAGGACGCUCCAUAGUAUGUCAAUGACUUUGUUCUUUCCUCUGUUAAAUUGUUUAUAAUGGUUUCUAAAAACUUUUG